rfam:Strongylocentrotus purpuratus Contig4411_fixed, whole genome shotgun sequence.
GAGAAAUGAUGAUACUCCAACUUCGGUCCGUGUUUCUGAUCAACCCUGAUAAGAAUGAAGUUCUGAUCUU